rnacentral:rRNA from 1 species
AUACGGAGGGUGCAAGCGUUACUCGGAAUCACUGGGCGUAAAGCGCGCGCAGGCGGCUAUUUAAGUUGGAUGUGAAAGCCUACGGCUCAACCGUAGAACUGCAUCCAAAACUAUUUAGCUAGAGUGUGGGAGAGGAAGAUGGAAUUAGUUGUGUAGGGGUAAAAUCCGUAGAGAUAACUAGGAAUACCAAAAGCGAAGGCAAUCUUCUGGUACACUACUGACGCUGAGGCGCGAAAGCGUGGGGAGCAAACAGGAUUAGAAACCCUAGUAGUCC